UACGUAGGGGGCAAGCGUUGUCCGGAAUCAUUGGGCGUAAAGGGCGCGUAGGCGGCCCGGUAAGUCAAAGGUGAAAUCCCUCGGCUCAACUGAGGAACUGCCUUUGAAACUGUCGGGCUUGAGGCCGGGAGGGGGUAGCGGAAUUCCCAGUGUAGCGGUGAAAUGCGUAGAUAUUGGGAGGAACACCGGUGGCGAAGGCGGAUCGGCUGGGCCAACACUGACGCUGAUGUGCGAAAGCUAGGGGAGCAAACGGGG
rnacentral:rRNA from 1 species